rnacentral:rRNA from 1 species
UAGGGAAUCUUCCACAAUGGACGCAAGUCUGAUGGAGCAACGCCGCGUGAGUGAAGAAGGUCUUCGGAUCGUAAAGCUCUGUUGUUGGUGAAGAAGGAUAGAGGCAGUAACUGGUCUUUAUUUGACGGUAAUCAACCAGAAAGUCACGGCUAACUACGUGCCAGCAGCCGCGGUAAUACGUAGGGGCAAGCGUUGUCCGGAUUUAUUGGGCGUAA